rnacentral:rRNA from 1 species
UACAGAGGGUGCGAGCGUUACUCGGAAUUACUGGGCGUAAAGCGCGCGUAGGCGGCUUUGCAAGCCGGAUGUGAAAUCCCCGGGCUUAACCUGGGAACUGCAUUCGGGACUGCAUUGCUAGAGUAUGGGAGAGGGAAGUGGAAUUUCAGGUGUAGCGGUGAAAUGCGUAGAUAUCUGAAGGAACAUCAGUGGCGAAAGCGACUUCCUGGACCAAUACUGACGCUCAUGUGCGAAAGCGUGGGGAGCAAACAGG